GAGGGCCCCGAGCGUUAUCCGGAAUUAUUGGGCGUAAAGAGUUCAACGGGGGUUUCGGAAGUCUAUGGUCAAAGCUCACGGCUCAACCGUGAGACCGCCCUAGAUACUCCGAGACUAGAGGGCAGAAGAGGUAAGCGGAACAGCCGGUGUAGUAGUAAAAUGCGUUAAUAUCGGCUGGAACACCAAAGGCGAAGGCAGCUUACUGGUAUGCACCUGACCCUUCACGAACGAAAGCGUGGGUAGCGAAUGGGAUUAGAUACCCCAGUAGUCCACGCCGUAAACGAUGGAUGCUAGGUGCCGGGAGUUUCGACCCCUCUCGGUGUCGUCUGAAGCUAACGCGUUAAGCAUCCCGCCUGGGGAGUACGGCCGCAAGGCUA
rnacentral:rRNA from 1 species